rnacentral:rRNA from 1 species
UACGUAGGGUGCAAGCGUUGUCCGGAAUUAUUGGGCGUAAAGAGCUCGUAGGCGGUUUGUUGCGUCGGCUGUGAAAUCCCGAGGCUCAACCUCGGGUCUGCAGUCGAUACGAGCAAACUAGAGUGUUGCAGGGGAGACUGGAAUUCCUGGUGUAGCGGUGAAAUGCGCAGAUAUCGGGAGGAACACCGGUGGCGAAGGCGGCGUUCUGGACUGCAACUGACACUGAAAAACGAAAGCCAGGGGAGCAAACGGG